ACGACAGCAGCAAUCACUACAAUGAGGAGAGCAUGAGCUAUACCCACAGUCAUAGCACUUGUAGCUUGCUUCAUUUAUGAAAAUGAAUGCAUUCAUCCUCUAACAACUCUUGGAGGCAGGAAAAGAAUGUGGUGUGAACCUUAAAGGAGAAACUACAAACCAAGCGAGACCUAUGGCAUCACAUCCUCUGCUGAAGCAUGAAUGAGAAACAAGGAAAUGACUGUGGUUUCCACUUCAAAUCUGAUUCAUAAAUAGAGGGCAAGUCUCCCACAA